rnacentral:rRNA from 1 species
CGACCCCAGGUCAGGCGGGGCUACCCGCUGAGUUUA